rnacentral:rRNA from 1 species
GAUGAACGCUGGCGGCGUGCCUAAUACAUGCAAGUCGAGCGAACGGUCGAGAAGCUUGCUUCUCUGAUGUUAGCGGCGGACGGGUGAGUAACACGUGGAUAACCUACCUAUAGGACUGGGAUAACUUCGGGAAACCGGAGCUAAUACCGGAUAAUAUUUUGAACCGCAUGGUUCAAAAGUGAAAGACGGUCUUGCUGUCACUUAUAGAUGGAUCCGCGCUGCAUUAGCUAGUUGGUAAGGUAACGGCUUACCAAGGCAACGAUGCAUAGCCGACCUGAGAGGGUGAUCGGCCACACUGGAACUGAGACACGGUCCAGACUCCUACGGGAGGCAGCAGUAGGGAAUCUUCCGCAAUGGGCGAAAGCCUGACGGAGCAACGCCGCGUGAGUGAUGAAGGUCUUCGGAUCGUAAAACUCUGUUAUUAGGGAAGAACAUAUGUGUAAGUAACUGUGCACAUCUUGACGGUACCUAAUCAGAAAGCCACGGCUAACUACGUG